AGAAAAUCAUCAGUGAUCAUCCUUUUACUUUACGAAACAAGUAUCUACGUGCGGCAUUAUGAAAAAAUAUAUUUUUAUAGAAAAUGUAUGUUGGCGCAGUUUUAACAAAAAAUAAUGCAAAUCAUGCAACAGACUCUCGUAAUACUUAAUACAGACAUCUGCAUAGUAGACUGAAUAUAUAAUUCUAUCUUCAAAUAUACAGAUGGAACAUUAUGGAUUCCGAGGUAGAGAGCUGGAGCUGUUUAAAUCUUAUUCAGAAAAUCG